AACAAACGCUGGCGGCAGGCUUAACACAUGCAAGUCGAACGCCCCGCAAGGGGAGUGGCAGACGGGUGAGUAACACGUGGGGAUCUGCCCAAUGGUACGGAAUAAUUCCGGGAAACUGGGACUAAUACCGUAUGUGCCCGCAAGGGGAAAGAUUUAUCGCCAUUGGAUGAACCCGCGUCGGAUUAGCUAGUUGGUGAGGUAAAGGCUCACCAAGGCGACGAUCCGUAGCUGGUCUGAGAGGAUGAUCAGCCACACUGGGACUGAGACACGGCCCAGACUCCUACGGGAGGCAGCAGUGGGGAAUAUUGGACAAUGGGCGCAAGCCUGAUCCAGCCAUGCCGCGUGAGUGAUGAAGGCCUUAGGGUUGUAAAGCUCUUUCGCCGACGAAGAUAAUGACGGUAGUCGGAGAAGAAGCCCCGGCUAACUUCGUGCCAGCCGCCGCGGUAAUAC
rnacentral:rRNA from 1 species